rnacentral:rRNA from 1 species
UACGUAGGUGGCAAGCGUUGUCCGGAUUUACUGGGCGUAAAGAGCGCGCAGGCGGUUGGAUAAGUCGAAUGUGAAAGCCCCCGGCUUAACUGGGGAGGGUCAUUCGAUACUGUUUGACUUGAAGGCAGGAGAGGGCAGCAGAAUUCCCGGUGUAGUGGUGAAAUGCGUAGAUAUCGGGAGGAAUACCAGUGGCGAAGGCGGCUGCCUGGCCUGUUCUUGACGCUGAGGCGCGAAAGCUAGGGGAGCAAACGGG